CAGAGGGAAACUGUCUUAAAAAUAAAUAAAUAAAUAAAAAUAAAAAGCAACAUCAAGAGGAGCUUGGAAGUAGUUGCUUCCAGCCCUCAUGGAUGGCUUUGAGGGGCUUAAGACUUCAGUGAAGGACUUCACUGCAGAUGUAGAAAUAGAGAACUAGAAUUAAAAGUGGAACCUGAAGAUGUGACUGAAUUGCUGCAAUCUCAUGAUAGAACUUGAAGAGAUGAGGAGUUGCUUCUUAUGGAUGAGCAAAGAAAGUGGCUCCUUGAGAUGUAAUCUACUCCUGGUGAAGAUGCUAUGAAUGCUGUUGAAAUGACCACAAAGGAUUUAGAAUAUUACUUAAUUGAUAAAGCAGUGGCAGGGUUUGAAAGGAUUGACUCCAAUUUUAAAAGUACUACAUGGGUAAAAUGCUGUCAGACAGCAUCCCAUGCUACAGAGAAAUCUGUGAAAGGAAGAGUCAAUCGAUGUGGCAAACUUUAUUAUUUUAAGAAAUUGCUACGUUUACCUCAGCCUUCACCAAUCACAACCCUGAUUAGCAGUUAUCAACAUCAAGGCAAGACCCUCUACCAGCAAAAAGAUUAUGACCCACUGAAGGCUUAGACAAUCGCUAGCAUUUUUUAAGCAGUAUUUUAAAUUAAGGUAUGUACACUUUUUUAGAUAUAAUGGUAUUGCACACUCAAUAGGCCAUAGUUAUAAAACAUAACUUUUAAAUGCACUGGGAAACCAAAGAAUUUAUGUGACUUGCUUUAUUGUGAUACUCACCUUAUUAUGGUGGCCUGGAACUGAACCCCUAAUAUCCCUGAGAAUGCCUGCAACUUCCAUCUUGUUCCCACCCUCAGUCACAUCUGCUAAGUCCUCCCAAUUGUGCAUUUCCUCUGAAAUAUCUUAAGUAUGCCCUUGUAUGAUUUUAGUUACAUGGAAUAGAAUCACUCUAGCAGAAAAGUAACUGUAGUAUUAGAAUUGUCAUUUUCCUUUUAGUCUGCUUCUGUAGCCUACUAAUUGGUCUUGCAACCCCAGACCUUUUUCAAAUUCAUUUCAACGUAUGUUGCCACUUGAUUAAAUGUAUUUAAAUUGGUCUGAGUUUUUUUGUAAUUUCAUUCUGGUUUUGGUAUAAGGGGCAUGCUUGCCUAAUAGAAUGAGUUGGAAAGUAAUUCCCUCCUCUUCACUUUUCUGAAGGAAUUUGUGUCAAAUUGUUAAGGUAGAAUACCUCAAAAAAGCCAACCUGAGCCUGGAAUAGUCUUUCACACUACAAAUUCAGUGUUAAAACUAGAUUUAGAGUUAUUCAAGCUAUUUAUUCUUAGGGUUUAUUUGUUUUGUUUUGUUUUGUUUUAGAGUUGGGGUCUCACUAUGUGGCCCAGGCUGGUCUCAAACUCCUGAGCUCAAGAGAUCCUCCUCCUUCAGCCUCCUGAGUAGUUGGGACUACAUGCACACAUCCCCAUGCUUGGCCCUUGUUUAUUUAUUCUUAAAUGAGCAUUGAUGUUGUGUAUCUUUAAUGAAAUUUGUCUAUUUUAUCUAAGUUGUCAACUUUAUUGCCAUGAAGUUAUUCAUACUUCCUUACGACCUUUUAAUACAUAUAAGAUCUAUACCGAUGUCCUCUCUCACUCAUAAUAUCGUUAACUUGUGUCUUCCUUCUUUUUAUUCUGAUCAGUCAAGCUAGAGGUUUAUCAAUUUAUUUUCUCAAAUCAGAUUUCACUGUCAUCAAUUUUUCUUUUUUAGUUCACUGAUUUCUGCUCUUCAUUAUUUAUUUUCUUUUUCUUCUUUUGGAUUUAGUUUGCCCUCUUUUUCUAGUUUAAGGUGUGAACAGGAGUCACUGACUUCAGACCUUUCUUUUUUAAUAUAUGUAUUUAGUGCUAUACAUUUCCUUCAAAGCACUACUUUAGCUGUAUUCUAACAAAUUUUGCUGUGUUGUAUUUUCAUUUUCAUUGAGUUCAAAAUACUUCAUAAUUUUCCCUUAGAUUUUGUCUUUGAUCCAUGGGUUAUUGAAAUGUGUGUUAAUUAGUGUCCAAAUAUUUGGGAAUUUUCAAAGAUCUUUCUGUAACUGAUUUCUAACUUAAUUUCAUCAUGGUUAGGACACAUCAUUUGUAUGAUUUAAUUCCUUUGAAAUUGUCUGAGACAUGUUUUAUGGUCCACAAGUAAUCCACUUUGGUGUUUUGCAUGCACUUGAAAAGAAUGUGCCUUGCUUUUGUUGAGUGAAGUAAUCUGUAGUGCCAAUUAGGUCAUGUUCGUUGAUAGUGGUGUUCAAGUCUUCUAUGUACUUAAUAAUUUGCAGUCUGCUUUUUCUGUCAAUUCAAAGUCUUGAAAUUUCCAACUGGAUUGUGGAUUGUUUUAUUUCUUUUAGCUCUGUUUCUUUUUAAUUUUUAAUAUUUGUGGGGUUCAUAGUAGGUGUAUAUAUUUGUGGGGCAUAUGAAAUGUUUUGAUAUAGGCAUACAAUGUGUAAUAAUCACAUCAGAGUAAAUGGGGUAUCCAUCACUUCAAGCAUUUAUCCUUUGUGUUACAAACAAUCCAGAUAUACUCUUUUACUUAUUUAAAAAUGUACAAUUAAAUUAUUAUUGACUAUAGUAACUGUUGUGCUAUCAAAUACUAGAUCUUAUUCAUUCUUUCUAUUUUUUUUGUACCCAUUAACCAUCCCCGCAGUUCCCCUCUACCCACCUGAUUACCCUUCCCAGCCUCUGGUAACCAUCCUUCUACUUUCUGUCUCCAUGAGUUCAAUUGCUUUUAUUUUUAGCUCCCACAAAUAAGUGAGAACAUAUGAAGCUUGUCUUUCUUUUUUCUGAGACUGAGUCUCACUCUGUUGCCCAGGUUGGAGUGCAGUGGUGCAAUCUCGGCUCACUGCAACCUCUGCCUCCCAGGUUGAAGCGAUUCUCCUGCCUCAGCCUCCCGAGUAGCUGGGAUUACAGGCAUUGCCACCAUGCCCAGCUAAUUUUUGUGUUUUUAGUAGAGAUGGAGUUUCACCAUGUUGGUCAGGCUGGCCUUGAACUCCUGAACUCAGGUGAUCCACCUGCCUCAGCCUCCCAAAGUGCUGGGAUUACAGGUGUGAGCCACCACACCAGACCGGAAGCUUGUCUUUCUAUGCCUGACUUAUUUCCCUUAAUAUAAUGACCUCCAGUUCCUUCUAUGUUGUUACAAGUGACAGGAUCUCAUUCUUUUUUAUGGCUGAAUAGUACUCCAUUGUGUAUAUGUACCACAUUUUCUUUAUCCAUUAGUCUCUUGAUGAACAUUUAGGUUGUUUCCAAAUCUUGGCUAUUGUGAAUAAUGCUGCAAUAAACAUGGGAAUGCAGAUAUCUCUUUGAUGUACUGAUUUCUUUUCUUUUGGGUACAUACCUAGCAGUGGGAUUGCUGGAUCGUAUCAUAGCUCUAUUUUUAGGUUUUUUUUUUUUUUUUUUUUUUUUUUUGAUGGAGUCUUGCUCUGUCCCCCAGGCUCGAGUGCAGUGGCAUGAUCUCGGCUCACUGCAACCUCCUCCUCCCAGGUUCAAUUGAUUCUCUUCCCUCAGCCUGUCAAGUAGCUGGGACUACAGGCAAAUGCUACCACGCCUGGCUAGUUUUUGUAUUUUUGCUAGAGACAGAGUUUUGCCAUGUUGGCCAGGCUAGUCUGAAGCUCCUGACCUCAGGUGAUCCGCCUGCCUUGGCCUCCCAAAGUGCUGGGAUUAUAGGCGUGAGCCACUAUUUUUAGUUUUUUGAGGAACCUCCACACUAUUCUCCGUAGUGAUUGUACUAAUUUAAACUUCCACCAGCAGUGUAUGAGGAUUCCCGUUUCUCCACAUCCUUGCAAUUUGUAACUGCCUGUCUUUUGGAUAAAAGCCAUUUUAACUGGGGUGAGAUGAAAUCUCAUUGUAGGUUUGAUUUGCAUUUCUCUGAUGAUCAUUGAUGUUGAGUACUUUCCUUUCUUUCUUUUUUUCUUUUUUAUUACAUCACAGUUCUGUAGCUCAGAGUUAAAGAAGGCUUGCCUGGGUUCUCUGCUUAAGGUCCCACAAGGCUGAAGUCAAGAUGUCAGACAAGGAAAAAAGGAAGGACAGGAACUAGCCUCAAUCCAGCCCAAUUAGCCUUCCCCCAAGUGCAACGAGGCCAAUGACAACCAAUGAUGAAGGCAGUGUUUACAAGGACCAAUCUCUUGACGGAUCAUUUAAAAACUCUUUAAAGAUUCAGGGAAACCACCCAGCCAGAAUGUUGAUAUCAAGACAUGAUGGAUCUACUGUGUCUCCAAGCUUUGGAAUCCCAAAGCCCAAAGAGGAAGUGAGGAGCCCCAGGUCCCACCAUUAGAUCCUCCUGGACCACAGUCACUCGAGGAAGCCUACCCCACACUUACAAAGACAAGACCUCGCCACACAGCAUCUGUCCUCUUCAAGAUCUGCCCCCACCAAGAUGUGUCUCCAGACCAAAACCACAGUCAGAUUGAAGCACAGGCCAGUGCAGAGGAAAUACUGAACACAGAGGAAAAAAUGGCAAGGCCCUAAAUACCGCGGACACAACUUGGGCCCACAGUUAACGAGGAGGAAGGCAGAGCGUGCUGAGCAGAGCACCAAGGAAGAGAGCUCGGCUAGCCGGGAAGGUCCGAAUGGAUUUAUUUGGUGAGGCCAAGGAACCCACUGCCUCCACGGUGUUCCUCCAGGAGGCUCCUCCCUUCACUAAGGCAGCAAGGAGUGCACUGGUGAGGGGAAGGUAGGUAUUUUCCAGAGGCUUGGGGGUGGCUGAAGGCUGGGGCUGACCCUGGGCCAUGUUGCCUCCGAACUGGCCUCCCUAGUGUCAGUGGGUGUGACACCAGUGGGUGCAGUUAAUCCAAUAGGCAGGGGAAACACAACACUGGUUUCUAGUGAUAAGGACGGUAGUGCUUUCUCACUAGACUUGACCUGAAGAAAGUGCUCCUUCUCCCACAGUCCAUCUCUCAGUGAACAAUUUUGCCAUCAGGCAGCAGCUCAGGCCAGAAAACUGCAGCCAGUAGCCCCAAGUCAUGCCCCCACUGCCACCAAGUCCUGCUGUUUGUGAAUGUUACUCACACGUGAGACGU